rnacentral:rRNA from 1 species
GUCAACGGUCAUACCACGCUGAAAGCACCAGUUCUCGUCUGAUCACUGCAGUUAAGCAGCGUUGGGCUCGGUUAGUACUUGGAUGGGUGGUAACCACCUGGGAACACCGUACUAUUGACG